AAGGAAGGAAGACCCGCUGGAAAGAGCCCAGGGGUGGGAAGAAGAAGACCUUUUCGUUUCAGUGGCUGAGCGUCCCGGCCCUGCUUCUCGGGACCUGUGUCACCUUGAGCCAGGAGGUUAUGACCCAGAGUUUAAGUAAUCUUGGCUGGCUUCUGAUUUGCAUAUAUAUGAUAAAGUAUGCUGCUGUUCGGACGGUGACUGCUGGGAAGCUGGACUCAUAAGGAAUAAAAAUUUGUUCAGCAACAGGACAACUCGACGAGGGUGACACUGGUCAUAGCACCCUCUUUCUACAGACCAGGAAACUGAGGCAGAAGAGAGAUUUAAACAACAUUUCAGUACAAUUGAAACUUAGAAGAAGAAAGAAAACCCUUUGAUUGCCACUGCAUAAUUUUAAGCUGAAUGCAUUGUACUGGAAGUUCUGGCCUGUGCAAUCUGAUAAGAAAAUAAAUUAAGGGUGUGAAGAUUGGAAAGGAAGCAGUACAGAUGUCUUCAUUCUUAGAUGACAUGGUUCCUGUGGAGAAAACCUGCUGGAAGGAUGGAAGAGCUG